rnacentral:rRNA from 1 species
AUUGAACGCUGGCGGCAGGCCUAACACAUGCAAGUCGAACGAGCGGCGGACGGGGGAGUAAUGUCUAGGAAACUGCCUGAAGGAGGGGGAUAACUACUGGAAACGGUAGCUAAUCCCGCCUACCAUCAGAUGUGGGCAGAUGGGAUGAGCUAGUAGGUGGGGGAACGGCUCACCUAGUGGACGAUCCCUAGCUGUGCUGAGAGGAUGACCAGCCACACUGGGACUGAGACACGGUCAAGACUCCGACGGGAGGCAGCAGUGGGGAAUAUUGCACAAUUGGCGAAAGCCUGAUGCAGCCAUGCCGCGUGUGUGAAGAAGUCCUUCGGGUUGUAAAGCACUUUCAGCGGGGAGGCGUUACCCGCAGAAGAAGCACCGGCUAACUCCGUGCCAGCAGCCGCGGUAAUUC